rnacentral:rRNA from 1 species
AACGUAGGUGGCAAGCGUUAUCCGGAUUUACUGGGCGUAAAGCGUGUGCAGGCGGGGGUACCAGUGGGGUAUGAAAUUUCCCAGCUUAACUGGGAAGGGUUAUGCCAGACUGUACUUCUGGAGUGCGAGAGAGGGGCGUGGAAUUCCGGGUGUAGUGGUGAAAUGCGUAGAGAUCCGGAAGAACACCGGAGGCGAAGGCGGCUUGCUGGGCGUGAUCUGACGCUGAGGCGCGAAAGCGUGGGGAGCGAACAGG